GAAAUGCGAUAAGUAGUGUGAAUUGCAGAAUUCAGCGAAUCAUCGAAUCUUUGAACGCACAUUGCGCCCUUUGGUAUUCCAAAGGGCAUGCCUGUUCGAGCGUCAUUUGUACCCUCAAGCUUUGCUUGGUGUUGGGCGUCUUGUCUCUAGCUUUGCUGGAGACUCGCCUUAAAGUAAUUGGCAGCCGGCCUACUGGUUUCGGAGCGCAGCACAAGUCGCACUCUCUAUCAGCAAAGGUCUAGCAUCCAUUAAGCCUUUUUUUCAACUUUUGACCUCGGAUCAGGUAGGGAUACCCGCUGAACUUAAGC
rnacentral:misc_RNA from 1 species